GGGAUUGCCCUAGUAACGGCGAGUGAAGCGGCAACAGCUCAAAUUUGAAAUCUGGCUCUUUCAGAGUCCGAGUUGUAAUUUGCAGAGGGCGCUUUGGCUUUGGCAGCGGUCCAAGUUCCUUGGAACAGGACGUCACAGAGGGUGAGAAUCCCGUACGUGGUCGCUAGCUAUUGCCGUGUAAAGCCCCUUCGACGAGUCGAGUUGUUUGGGAAUGCAGCUCUAAAUGGGAGGUAAAUUUCUUCUAAAGCUAAAUAUUGGCCAGAGACCGAUAGCGCACAAGUAGAGUGAUCGAAAGAUGAAAAGCACUUUGGAAAGAGAGUCAAACAGCACGUGAAAUUGUUGAAAGGGAAGCGCUUGCAGCCAGACUUGCUUGCAGUUGCUCAUCCGGGCUUUUGCCCGGUGCACUCUUCUGUAGGCAGGCCAGCAUCAGUUUGGGCGGUGGGAUAAAGGUCUCUGUCACGUACCUCUCUUCGGGGAGGCCUUAUAGGGGAGACGACAUACCACCAGCCUAGACUGAGGUCCGCGCAUCUGCUAGGAUGCUGGCGUAAUGGCUGUAAGCGGCCCGUCUUGAAACACGGACCAAGGAGUCUAACAUCUAUGCGAGUGUUUGGGUGUCAAGCCCGAGCGCGUAAUGAAAGUGAACGGAGGUGGGAACCCGCAAGGGUGCACCAUCGACCGAUCCUGAAGUUUACGGAAGGAUUUGAGUAAGAGCAUGGCUGUUGGGACCCGAAAGAUGGUGAACUAUGCUUGAAUAGGGUGAAGCCAGAGGAAACUCUGGUGGAUGCUCGCAGCGGUUCUGACGUGCAAAUCGAUCGUCAAAUUUGGGCAUAGGGGCGAAAGA
rnacentral:rRNA from 1 species